rnacentral:rRNA from 1 species
UACGUAGGGUGCGAGCGUUAAUCGGAAUUACUGGGCGUAAAGCGUGCGCAGGCGGUCUGUUAAGACCGAUGUGAAAUCCCCGGGCUUAACCUGGGAACUGCAUUGGUGACUGGCAGGCUUUGAGUGUGGCAGAGGGAGGUAGAAUUCCACGUGUAGCAGUGAAAUGCGUAGAUAUGUGGAGGAACACCGAUGGCGAAGGCAGCCCCCUGGGUCAAGACUGACGCUCAUGCACGAAAGCGUGGGGAGCGAACAGG